GUGCUUGUAUCGGCAGCACAUUGACUGAAGUUGAAAAGAUACAGAGAAGAUUAGCAUGGCUUCUGCAUAAGGAUGACAUGCAAAUACAUUAAGUGUUUCAUAUUAAA
ensembl:snRNA U6 U6 spliceosomal RNA